AUGGCCCGAGAGCUGAGCCAGGAGGCGCUGCUGGACUUCCUGCUCCAGGCAGGCGGCCGGGCAACCAACGCCGCCCUGCUGAGCCACUUCGGGAGCUUCCUCCGCGACCCGGACGCGCCCCCCGGCCUGCGCCUGCGCCGCCGCGAGCUCUUCAAGGGCUUGGUGAACGCGGUGGCCGCGGUGCGCCAGGACCCCGACGGCACCAAGUGCGUGGUGCUCAGGCGCAGGUACAGGGACCUUCUGGCGGCGGACGGGCCCCCGCGAGGCGCGCGCCGGGCGUGGCAGGAGGAGGCGCCGGCAGGUGCGGCGGGCCGAGCGGCGGGCGCGGCUCGCAAUGCACUCCCGGCCGGCGGCACCCGGGAGGCGAGCGGGGAGGGCGGCGGGCCGCGGGGCAGCCCCGGCCGGAGGGCGCUCGUGUCCGCAGCUGCCCAGGCCGGAGCCAAGUGCGCGGCGGCGGAGACGCAGGGCCGCUGUUGCUGGGAGUGUCUGCAGAACAGCUUGGAGGGGCUCCCGGGCGCUCUCGGCGCACCCCCGGACCCCGCCGCUGCCGGAGAGAAGCCGGCGCGGGCUCUGCCUGCCCAGAAGGACAGUGGGGCCACCCGGCAGCGGUGGGAAGACUCAGCCCGCUCGCCUCCCGCCGCCAUCGAGGCUGCCGGGAGCCGGCCUUCGCCGCCUGCUCCGCUGCCUCGCCCUGCACCCCCUGGACCCCGGCCGGAGAUGAGGACUCCCCCGGGACCCCUACACUGUCCCACCCUGCAGCAGCAGCAGCAGCAGCGCACGCGAGAGUGGGUGGCCAGGCACCUGCAGACGCCCGAGGCCCAAGACCCGUGCCUCACCCGGGCCUGGACUGUGCUGCCGGACAACUUCCUCCAGCGGCCCACGGGGCCACGUUCAGAGCCGCCAGCGCCGCCUCCUUCCUCCCAUCCUCUCUUCCCCGUUGCGGCGGAGCCCUCCGAGCCCCGGCCGGGCUGCGCUCCGCCGACCGUCUUCCGCAGCAUUCGCUGCCAGCUGUCCCUCCAAGACCUGGAGGACCUGGUGGGCCAGGAGAGCGGCGGCCGCAGGCCCGAGGAGUCGCCUGGGGGCCCUGACGAGCCGCGGGCUGCCCUGGGAACCGCAGGCGGCGGGAAGCUCGGGCACCCCACGUGGGGCCUUGCUGCGCCCCUGGCGGAACGGAGCCCCAGCUGGACCUGUCCGAGCCCCAGGAGCAGAGGGGGUGGCCGCGCCUGCCGGCAGGUCCCCCCAGAAGCGAGUGGCUGCGCCAGCCGCGCCCCGGAGCCUCUGCCGCGGGCGGCCCCGAGGCGGAGGAGAACCCUCCGGAGGAGCCCCCCGGCGGGGAGAGGCGACGCGCCCUCCUCUGACGAGGAGCGCCUUGAUGAAGGCUUGCUGCAAAGGGGCCGGGGACCGCCUCGAUCCAGGAAACCCUCCAAGGCAGGGACGAGGCCCAGUCCGAGGUUGGAUGCAGCUUUGACACCAAAGCCUGCAGCGCUUAAGGCCGUUGGGGCCCCCGGUGGGCAGGGGCCUGCGGCCUCGGUCGCCCACAGACCGCCUGCGCACAAGCCGUCCCUGGUCCCCCUGGACGCCAGGGAGCACCAGUGGAUUGUGAAGCUUGCCAGUGGCUCCUGGGUCCAGGCGCUGACUUUGUUCUGGGAGGACCCCCAGCUGGUUUUGCACAAAGACUUCUUGACGGGGUACACUGCCUUGCACUGGGUCGCCAAACACGGCGACGUCCGGGCGCUUCAGGACCUGGUCUCGGGCGCCCGGAAGGCGGGUGUGGCUCUGGAUGUGAACGCGAGGUCCGGCUGUGGGUACACCCCACUGCACCUUGCAGCCAUCCAUGGCCACCAGGCGGUCAUCAAAUUGCUCGUGCAAAGGCUGGCUUCUCGGGUGAGUGUCCGGGACGGCAGUGGCAAAAGGCCAUGGCAGUAUCUGACCAGGGACACCUCCGCCGAGAUAUGGCAGCUCCUGGGAGCCCCCCGAGGCAAGCCCAUGUUCCCCGUCCGCCCCUUAGUGCAAAGCUCUCCCCCCACCAGGAAGGCCGAGCGCCGGGAAGUAUCUAGAAAUGUCACCCGGAAGACUUCCUUUGCUGCACUUCUCAAAAGUCAGCACGACAGGUGGAAAUUGGCCGGCCAGUAUGAGAAGUUCCCCAGUGCGCGGGAGAGAGAAGAAUACAGUGACUGAGAUGACAAAGAAAAGAAGGAACAACGGUCGUGCCAAACAGGGCCGUGGCCAUGUGCAUAUCGCUGCACGAACUGCGCCGAUGCGUGCCCAAGACAAGGCCGUGAAGGAGUCUGCGUUCGGAACACAGCGGGGGCCGCAGCUGGCAGGGACACACCCGAAGCGAGGGUCUCCGGCGCCCUGUGCUCCCCGAGCUGUGGGAAGCUGCACUGCUGUGUGAGUUGGGCCACUCACGGCAAGGGAGUCAGGAAUCGUGCUCGGGAAGCCCGCGAGGACCGAACACCCCCACCCAGAUUUAGACCUGCGGGUGCUGCCCAAGACCUCCACCAGAGCCUAUGGUUUGAUAAUUUCAUUUAUUCAGACUUGGCCCAUUGUCACCUUCUGAGCACCGUUCUGUGUGUGGUGCAGCAUGGUCACGCGGCUCCACAGCUGGAGAGACCAGCAAAGGCGACCACAGCGCUGAGGGGUCCCAGGUGAGGCCAGAGGGCCUUGGGGGGAGGUGAGGAUGGGGCAGGGUCUCAGGGAGGAGGUGACGUCUGACCUAGGUCUCCAGGGACAAGUUGUCACUUAGCCAGGACCUCUGUUUCCACAUUGGAUCGCUGGAAUAGGACUUACUGAAUUCAACACCUGAGUGACCCGGGCUCAAGUUGAUUAGCUUUGAGCGUGUUUUACCCCUGUGUCUCCGGCCUCCCCUGCUAGGCUGAGGUCCCGAGAGAAUGGAGGCUCCCGCCAGCUGCGUUCUGUGCCUGGAACAGGCCAGCGUGCAGCCAGGCCUCGGUGAGUGUCACCCGGUGAGUGAAUGCCAGCUGGAAUUUGUCUUCCUGCGCUGUCUGUCCACUCUGCUACAGCACCAGCUCCUAGGAACAGGCAUGUCCUCAGUCAUCGGUCUGGACCCGCCGGCCUAGCGAGCCCUGGCACGCGGCAGGUGCUCCGCGGUGUCUGCAGACUGACUGAUGGCAACAGGACGCCAGGGCGGGCCUUGAAGCUGGGACUGAAUCCCAAACCCUCCUUCAGACGGGAAGCCCUGCUCCUCUUUGGAGCGGGUGAGCCAGGCUGGGGAGCGAGUGCCCGCCCUCGCCCACGGGGACAGGGAGGCCCGGGCGCGGCCAAGGAGCGGAGACGCCGGGCGCGCUCACGCCUGUCAUCCUGGCACUCUGGGAGGCCGAGGCAAGAGGAUUGCUCAAGGUCAGG